rnacentral:rRNA from 1 species
AAUCUUGCGCAAUGGAGGGAACUCUGACGCAGCGACGCCGCGUGAACGAUGAAGGUCUUCGGAUCGUAAAGUUCUGUCCUCAGGGAAGAAAGGCACUCAACGUGACUUGACGGUACCUGACGAGGAAGCCCCGGCUAACUACGUGCCAGCAGCCGCGGUAAUACGUAGGGGGCAAGCGUUGUCCGGAAUUAUUGGGCGUAAAGGGUGCGUAGGCGGCCUUUUAAGUCAGAUGUGAAAGGCUACGGCUUAACUGUGGGGUUGCAUUUGAAACUAGAAGGCUUGAGUUUCGGGGAGGGUAGUGGAAUUCCCGGUGUAGCGGUGAAAUGCGUAGAUAUCGGAAGAAACACCAGUGGCAAAGGCGACUACCUGGUCGAGAACUGACGCUGAUGCACGAAAGCUAGGGGAGCAAACA